GACGAAGUCUCGGGUGGAGGUGCGGCCGGGCGUUGCGGGUGAUCAUGAAGAUCUGUCCUGGGCUUGCGCAAAGCGCAGAUUAGGAAAGCGUUGAGGAGAGCCGCGGAGCAGCUUGCCCUGGAGCCCGGCGCCGGACCGGGAAUGCAGCCGGCGCGGGUCGCCACGAAGCGCAAGGCGCGGGGCCAGGCAGACAGAGCUCCGGCAGGUUGCUGCGGCCUUCUUCGCACCCUGCAGCUGGAGCUGGGCUCCCUGGGUCCGCAGGGCCUCCGCAGCUUCUCAGGGGACAGCGGUGGGGAAGGAAGCCGGGAACUCCCCGGAGCACGGAGUUGCAAUGGCUGUACCCUGAGAAAAAGCAGGCAACGAAGAGUAAGAGUUCAUCCCAGCUCUUCUGUCCAUCCAUUGACCAGGUCCACAAGCGAGACCCCUUCGAAGCUGAUUCCAACCACCCAGAGCCGGGGUCAAGUUUGGACUUUACAGACUUGCUGGCCUCACCACCCUGGGAUGCUGCUCCCUGACCCCACUGGCUCUCAGGGACGUCAAGCCAAAUGAAAAAGUCUACACAGUGCUUUCUGGGAGAGGUGACUAGAAGAGGACAUUACACCCGGGGUCGAGCAAGCAAAAUGCUCCAGGUCACACCAAAGAAUGCUGUCUCCUUUCUAGAACUGGAGGGCCCUGUGCCAGGCUUGGGAUGUGUCUGUGUCAGCAGUGCCUCAAGAAACAGGCUACAUUCUCCAACUGAGUCCCAGAGUGAAGACAAAACUGAGCAGAGAAGCAGUCAGCUUGUGAUGGACAUCUAGGAUGAAUGAGAAGUAUGCCCAAUAAACUCUUCCUUCUAUAA